GGGAAUACUGCAAAGCUAGGGAGUGGGAGAGGUAGACGGUACUCGGUAGGAAGGGGUAAAAUCCUUUGAUCUAUUGAUGACCACCUGUGGCGAAGGCGGUCUACCAGAACACGUCCGACGGUGAGGGAUGGAAGCUGGGGGAGCAAACCGGAUUAGAUACCCGGGUAGUCCCAGCCGUAAACCAUGCAAACUCAGUGAUGCAUUGGCUUGUGGCCAAUGCAGUGCUGCAGGGAAGCCGUUAAGUUUGCCGCCUGGGAAGUACGUACGCAAGUAUGAAACUUAAAGGAAUUGGCGGGGGAGCACCACAAGGGGUGAAGCCUGCGGUUCAAUUGGAGUCAACGCCAGAAAUCUUACCCGGAGAGACAGCAGAAUGAAGGUCAAGCUGGAGACUUUACCAGACAAGCUGAGAGGUGGUGCAUGGCCGUCGCCAGCUCGUGCCGUGAGAUGUCCUGUUAAGUCAGGUAACGAGUGAGAUCCCUGCCUCUAGUUGCCACCAUUACUCUCAGGAGUAGUGGGGCGAAUUAGCGGGACCGCCGCAGUUAAUGUGGAGGAAGGAAGGGGCCACGGCAGGUCAGUAUGCCCCGAAACUCUGGGGCCACACGCGGGCUGCAAUGGUAGUGACAAUGGGUCCCGAAUCCGAAAGGAGGAGGUAUCCUCAAACACUACCACAGUUAUGACUGAGGGCUGCAACUCGCCCUCACGAAUAUGGAAUCCCUAGUAACUGCGUGUCAUUAUCGCGCGGUGAAUACGUCCCUGCUCCUUGCACACACCGCCCGU
rnacentral:rRNA from 1 species